CCACCUUUCUGCGACAUCGUAUUAGCCCUUAGUACUGGCGAUGGCGCACACUCUUGAAGUAUGCCGAUAGUUUAUGAACUUGAUGGUGAGCACAUCGAUUCUUCCUUUUAUCCAGAUCAAGUUAUACAAAUUUUGUUGGCCAAAUACUUCUCGUUAAUUGCUGUGGACUGUUCUCAAGAAAUACACCGUCAAUGCCGGUCCGAAACCUGGAUUAAAAAAGCAGAGGUUCGAAUUAGGCACAGCCAUAUAAAGUUAUGCAGAUCUCAUACACAUGGAUCUUAAUCACAUUCUGUACAGGCCUAGGUCGUCAUAUCCGGGAGCUAAAUGGUGGGAAAAGAUCCACAGACACUUGGGUCAUUAGAGAUCACAUACCGUAUGUUGAGCAUGGGGAUUGAGUUAUUGAAUGUCUGAAUGAAGACAAUAUUAUGAAGUUGGACUCCCAACUUUUGAAGGAUUGCUUUUCCAUAUUGAGUAUCCACGAAAUCCCUACUAGUGCGGGUGCACUUUUUCUUGGACAAGCUGCUUUUGUCAUCCUUGCUUUGUUAGAUUCAUUUCCAUCUAUGUGGUUCAGAAGAUUCUUGAAACAUGCACUGAUGAACAUUGUGCAAUCUUGCUCGAUCACAUAAAAGUUGAUCUGCAGGCUUUGGAGAAAGUUGCCUAGAAGAAACAUAUGGUUGCUUGGGCAGAGCAGUCAUGUGGUGAAGAUGACAAAGUUGUGUUAUGGAUGAACACAGUGUCUCCUGUGAAUGAUUGCAAUAUGAAGCAGCCAAGAUGCGUUAGCCCCUGCUAUGAUUGAGUGCUUGAUGAUCAUUGGAUCUGUCUUCGAAGCUCAUCGUAUCCUUUGGGGCAUCACACGAAGCAUAGAUUUCGACUUUAAUUAAACCAACCAACCAACCAGAUUUAUGUCAGAGUAACGUGAUACAAAUGAUACAGCAUGAUGAUGAUGAUGAUGCCUGUGGUAUACAUCCCUUGAUUUACACGAAACAGUGGUGUAACGCUGGGUAUUAAUAAAUAAAUCCAGCUUAGUGUCCGAUGGUACAGAGGUUAUUGAAUUGGAGCUGCAGUCGACAAAGACUUAACGCGUGUAACAACUGAGAAUGAUACUAUGAAUGAUGAUUAUUCUGA